rnacentral:rRNA from 1 species
GACGAACGCUGGCGGCGUGCCUAAUACAUGCAAGUAGGACGCACAGUCUAUACCGUAGCUUGCUACACCAUAGGCUGUGAGUUGCGAACGGGUGAGUAACGCGUAGGUAACCUGUCUAUUAGAGGGGGAUAACUAUUGGAAACGAUAGCUAAUACCGCAUAACAGUAUGUAACACAUGUUAGAUGCUUGAAAGAUGCAAUUGCAUCGCUAGUAGAUGGACCUGCGUUGUAUUAGCUAGUAGGUAGGGUAAUGGCCUACCUAGGCGACGAUACAUAGCCGACCGGAGAGGGUGGUCGGCCACACUGGGACUGAGACACGGCCCAGACUCCUUCGGGAGGCAGCAGUAGGGAAUCUUCGGCAAUGGGGGGAACCCUGACCGAGCAACGCCGCGUGAGUGAAGAAGGUUUUCGGGUCGUAAAGCUCUGUUGUUAAGGAAGAACGAGUGUGAGAAUGGAAAGUUCAUACUGUGACGGUACUUAACCAGAAAGGGACGGCUAACUACGUG